GGGAUUUCCCUGAACAAGCGGUGGCCCAGCUUUGAGAACCACUGGACUAGAUGACUUCAAGCCCCAGGUCACGAAAUGUGGAACAAACCAGAUUGAGAUGCUGCCGUACCUGAUCCCAGGACCGACCCUUUAUUAGCGAGUCAUCCAGGUACAGGUAAAUUGGAACACCCCAGCACCUCAGGGUAUGCAGGCAAGAGUCAGUUUGCUCAGCAAACAGGCCCUGGCCGUCAAACGGAAGAUCCUGAAUGGUGUGUUGCACUUCAGGUGGGAGGCUGGAUGACUGGAGCCAUGAGUUCCGAUGCAUGGCAAUGCCAGAGGCCAGAGUGCGAGCUGCCACAUCUACGGCAUCAAGGGAGCCCUGCAGGGAGGUUCGGGCUACCAGAUUGCUAUCCUCAGCGAUGACCCCCAGUUCCAUGCGGGACUCAGAUGGGAGGAGUUCCUGGAACUUAAGGAUCGCGGACCAUGAAUUAUAACUGUAUCUGCUGAGAAUCGCAAGUGGGCUCAUGAUUCGAAGUGAGAGGC